GAUGAACGCUGGCGGCGUGCCUAAUACAUGCAAGUCGAGCGAACAGAUGAGGAGCUUGCUCCUCUGACGUUAGCGGCGGACGGGUGAGUAACACGUGGAUAACCUACCUAUAAGACUGGGAUAACUUCGGGAAACCGGAGCUAAUACCGGAUAAUAUAUUGAACCGCAUGGUUCAAUAGUGAAAGACGGUUUUGCUGUCACUUAUAGAUGGAUCCGCGCUGCAUUAGCUAGUUGGUAAGGUAACGGCUUACCAAGGCAACGAUGCGUAGCCGACCUGAGAGGGUGAUCGGCCACACUGGAACUGAGACACGGUCCAGACUCCUACGGGAGGCAGCAGUAGGGAAUCUUCCGCAAUGGGCGAAAGCCUGACGGAGCAACGCCGCGUGAGUGAUGAAGGUCUUCGAAUCGUAAAACUCUGUUAUUAGGGAAGAACAAAUGUGUAAGUAACUAUGCACGUCUUGACGGUACCUAAUCAGAAAGCCACGGCUAACUACGUG
rnacentral:rRNA from 1 species